rnacentral:rRNA from 1 species
UACGUAGGGUGCGAGCGUUGUCCGGAAUUACUGGGCGUAAAGCGCACGUAGGCGGCUUUGCAAGUCAGAGGUGAAAGCCCGGGGCUCAACCCCGGAAUUGCCUUUGAGACUGCAUCGCUAGAAUUGUGGAGAGGUAAGUGGAAUUCCGAGUGUAGAGGUGAAAUUCGUAGAUAUUCGGAAGAACACCAGUGGCGAAGGCGACUUACUGGACACAUAUUGACGCUGAGGUGCGAAAGCGUGGGGAGCAAACAGG